rnacentral:pre_miRNA from 14 species
AGAGAGAGGAGGGAGAGAGAGAGGUGGAGAGAGAGGGGGGGGAGGUAGAGAGAGAUAGAGAGAGAGAGAGAGAGAGAGUUUACUGGCUCUGUUCUACCUCCCUCUCUCUCUCUCUCUCUCUCCCCUUUCUCUGCCUC